CAUCCACAGAUCUUUCCAGUGAUGGAUUGGUGCCUUCGGGUACUGUGUGACAGGUGCUGCUUGGCUGUCGUCAGCUCGUGUUGUGAAAUGUUGGGUUAUGUCCCGCUACGAGCGCAACCCUUAUCCUUUGUUGCCAGCGAUUAGGCCGGGAACUCAAAGGAGACUGCCAGUGAUAAACUGGAGGAAGGUGGGGAUGACGUCAAGUCAUCAUGGCCCUUACGACCAGGGCUACACACGUGCUACAAUGGCGCAUACAAAGAGAAGCGACCUCGCGAGAGCAAGCGGACCUCAUAAAGUGCGUCGUAGUCCGGAUUGGAGUCUGCAACUCGACUCCAUGAAGUCGGAAUCGCUAGUAAUCGUGGAUCAGAAUGCCACGGUGAAUACGUUCCCGGGCCUUGUACACACCGCCCGUCACACCAUGGGAGUGGGUUGCAAAAGAAGUAGGUA
rnacentral:rRNA from 1 species